GACUUGAAGAUAAAAGAUAGAGAUAUACAAGUUCAAAAGCGCCAAAACUCUGUCAAAUUGAUUCUACAAAGCACACUGAAUUUCUGCACUGAUUUGAUACAUCUUAGAAAUUCAAAGUCUAGAGUCUUUAUUGUAUUGUAUUGUGAACACCACUGAUUGUAUAUCAAGUGUUCAAGUCAAACUCAAUUCUCUGUAUUUUUGUUUGAUCAGAAGUCUCUUGCCUGCGUGCUUGAGCAUUAGAAGUCUCUUGCUUAGUGCUUGAGCAUUGGAAGACUCUUGCGUGUGUGCUUGAGCAUUUUUGUGAAGUCUCAUACUUAGAAAGUAUUGAGCAUUUGUAAUCUUUGUGAUUAUAGUGAAAUCUC
rnacentral:lncRNA from 1 species